CCUUAAGAUACCUCAUUUUUUGUAUGUCAUCAUCAUAUUUUGGAUGUUUGUCUAUGUACCUUGUCCUUAUAGGUCUUCUUUUGUAAAGGACAGAUAUUUUAAUAUAAUAUAAAAACUUUGCUUAUCAAUAACAUGUUAUGAUUUUUGUAAAAUGAAUAAGCACACUCUAGAUUAAAUUAUUGAAUGAGUGAUUGGUUGACUUAUACUUGUUUAAGAUAUGCUGAUAAAUAAAUGAACUUAAUUAUAAUACUAAUGGGAAGAAAAUUUUGUUAACAUUUUUAAUUAUGACAAAAAAGAGGGGAAAUUAGAAGAGAAAGAGAAAUGUCAAAAAGGGAGGAAUCAAGAGCAAAUUCAAUUGUUUUUAAAAAAUAUUGCUUAUCUAAUAAGAAAAGAAGAGUUUUAGUUAAAACUUAUUCAAAUUUAAUGAAUGCUUGAUCUUUAUUAUUAAGAUAUUUUGUUUCAAAAUUUUAAAAGUCUAUUGGUAUUGGAAAAGUAAUACUCAAAGAUUUUUAUCAUCAUCCAAAAGAGAAGAUUAUUAAUCCUAAAAUUGAUUUUGAUAAUGUCAAAAGAGUUUGAGUAUAAAUUAUUGUUACUAAUGAUGCUUUUGAAAGUGAUUAUAGAAUUUUUUGUAAUGCUCAAUAGUUGAUCUUGUUCAAGAAGAAAUCUUCUUUAAUUUGAGCUAAUUCAUAUUUCGAAAAUCAAAAUUUCAAAUUAUGGAAGAAAUCAACAUAAAAAGAAUUUGAUAAAAAAAAGUCUAGCCUAGAAAGAUUUCUCAACUAGUCUUUCUAUUCAAAAAUUUAUUUUGAGAAGGCAAGUCUAACCUAGAAUAUAUGUUGUCCUGAGAGAUAGCAAUCAGAGAGGGG
rnacentral:lncRNA from 1 species